GACGAACGCUGGCGGCGUGCUUAACACAUGCAAGUCGAACGGAAAGGCCCUGCUUUUGUGGGGUGCUCGAGUGGCGAACGGGUGAGUAACACGUGAGUAACCUGCCCUUGACUUUGGGAUAACUUCAGGAAACUGGGGCUAAUACCGGAUAGAAGCUCCUGCUGCAUGGUGGGGGUUGGAAAGUUUCGGCGGUUGGGGAUGGACUCGCGGCUUAUCAGCUUGUUGGUGGGGUAGUGGCUUACCAAGGCUUUGACGGGUAGCCGGCCUGAGAGGGUGACCGGCCACAUUGGGACUGAGAUACGGCCCAGACUCCUACGGGAGGCAGCAGUGGGGAAUAUUGCACAAUGGGCGGAAGCCUGAUGCAGCAACGCCGCGUGCGGGAUGACGGCCUUCGGGUUGUAAACCGCUUUCGCCUGUGACGAAGCGUGAGUGACGGUAAUGGGUAAAGAAGCACCGGCUAACUACGUGC
rnacentral:rRNA from 1 species